AACGAACGCUGGCGGCAUGCCUAACACAUGCAAGUCGAACGAGACCUUCGGGUCUAGUGGCGCACGGGUGCGUAACGCGUGGGAACCUGCCCUUAGGUUCGGAAUAACUCCCCGAAAGGGGUGCUAAUACCGGAUAAUGUCUUCGGACCAAAGAUUUAUCGCCUUUGGAUGGGCCCGCGUUGGAUUAGCUAGUUGGUAGGGUAAAAGCCUACCAAGGCGACGAUCCAUAGCUGGUGUGAGAGGAUGAUCAGCCACACUGGGACUGAGACACGGCCCAGACUCCUACGGGAGGCAGCAGUGGGGAAUAUUGGACAAUGGGCGAAAGCCUGAUCCAGCAAUGCCGCGUGAGUGAUGAAGGCCUUAGGGUUGUAAAGCUCUUUUACCCGGGAUGACAAUGACAGUACCGGGAGGAUAAGCUCCGGCUAACUCCGUG
rnacentral:rRNA from 1 species